CCUACGGGAGGCAGCAGUAGGGAAUUUUCGGCAAUGGGGGGAACCCUGACCGAGCAACGCCGCGUGAAGGAAGAAGGAAUUCGUUCUGUAAACUUCUGUUAUAAAGGAAGAAAGACGGAUGGAGGAAAUGACAUCCGAGUGACGGUACUUUAUGAGAAAGCCACGGCUAACUACGUGCCAGCAGCCGCGGAAAUACGUGGGUGGCAAGCGUUAUCCGGAAUAAUUGGGCGGAAAGAGGGAGCAGGCGGCAGCAAAGGUCUAGGGGGAAAGAAUGAAGCUAAACUUCGGUAAGCCAUAGAAACCGGGAUGCUAGAGUACGGGAGAGGAACGUGGAAUUCCAGGUGUAGCGGUAAAAUGCGUAGAUAUAAGGAGGAACACCAGUGGCGAAGGCGACGAUCUAGCCUGCAACUGACGCUCAGGCCCGAAAGCGUGGGGAGCAAAUAGGAUUAGAUACCCCGGUAGUC
rnacentral:rRNA from 1 species